CCUACGGGAGGCAGCAGUAAGGAAUAUUGGUCAAUGGACGAAAGUCUGAACCAGCCAUGCCGCGUGAAGGAUGACGGCCCUCUGGGUUGUAAACUUCUUUUAUCUGGGACGAAAAAAGGGAAUUCUUUCUCACUUGACGGUACCAGAGGAAUAAGCACCGGCUAACUCCGUGCCAGCAGCCGCGGUAAUACGGAGGGUGCAAGCGUUAUCCGGAUUCACUGGGUUUAAAGGGAGCGUAGGUGGGCAGGUAAGUCAGUGGUGAAAUCUCCGGGCUUAACCCGGAAACUGCCAUUGAUACUAUUUGUCUUGAAUUAUCUGGAGGUAAGCGGAAUAUGUCAUGUAGCGGUGAAAUGCUUAGAUAUGACAUAGAACACCCAUUGCGAAGGCAGCUUACUACGGAUAUAUUGACACUGAGGCUCGAAAGCGUGGGGAUCAAACAGGAUUAGAUACCCUGGUAGUACCACGCCCUAAACGAUGGAUACUCGACAUCAGCGAUACACUGUUGGUGUCUGAGCGAAAGCAUUAAGUAUCCCACCUGGAAGUACGACCGCAAGGUUGAAACUCAAAGAGUAAGUAGACGNGUACGNGACCGAGGCCGAACGACGACGGACGUUAGGGA
rnacentral:rRNA from 1 species